AGAUCACCAAAGCGUUAAUAAGAAAAAAAGAAAAAAAGAAAAGACUUAAUAUGAAUGGAAAUAUUAUGUAUGAUAAACUACGCUCCCCCAGGGGCACGACCAUAAGGAUAGAGGACUGAAACAUAACCACGAUAAAUUCUUAAAAAAAGACACUUAAAUCUUAACAAAAGCAUGACUGAUGUUGGGAAGAAUUUGAUUCCACUAUUUUGAUCUCACGCUUGUGAGCAGAAUUGUCAAUCA
rnacentral:lncRNA from 1 species